rnacentral:tRNA from 1 species
CUAGUCAAACGGGGUAAAACAGCUGACUCUUAAUCAGCGGGUUGUGGGUUCGAGUCCCACGCGGUGUACCA